UACGAAGGGCCCGAGCGUUGCGCGGAAUCACUGGGCUUAAAGCGUACGCAGGCGGACACGCAGGCGUCUUGUGAAAGCCCUCGGCUCAACCGAGGAACUGCAGGGCGAACCGUGUGUCUUGAGGCGGGUAGAGGCUGUCGGAACGAUAGGUGGAGUGGUGAAAUGCGUUGAUAUCUAUCGGAACGCCGAAGGUGAAAACAGGCAGCUGGGCCCGUCCUGACGCUGAGGUACGAAAGCGUGGGGAGCGAACGGG
rnacentral:misc_RNA from 1 species